CUUUCUAGCCCAAUUACCCUAAAGACACCAGGUCCCAUCUGAUCUUAGAAGGUAAGCAGGGUCAGAUGUGGUUAGUACUUGGAUAGGAGCCCGCCAGUUAAUAUAAGGUUCUGUAGGCU
rnacentral:rRNA from 1 species